AUGCCCUCCCAUCCCCAUCCCCAUUUAGAUCCAAUCGAAACAAAGAGGGCUACGAUUCAUCGUCGCCGCCGUCUCGAGACAACGACGCCGCCCCCCACGACGCAUCCACUGUCGUCGCUGGCUCCCUCCGUCGCCGGCCCUGAGCUCCCCUGCGACCGCCGCCUCCCUCCGUCGCCCGUCUCCUCCGGUGCCCGUGUGCCCAUCCGUCGCCGGCCCCUCCACGCUGACCCGUCCUCGCCGGCUUUCUCCUGCCUGACGCCAAUGACGAGGACACGAGCGGGAGCUGCGGCAUCGAGAAAAGAGGAAAAAGAGAGGGGAAUGGAGGAGGGCUCACUGGGGAGCUCGAACCCGAGCUCAGGGAAGCCGGGGGCGGAUCGUGGCGGUGGGAAUCGGCGGCGGACGGCGGUGACGCGAGGUGAGGAUGGAGAGGAAGAGGAACCUCCUGGUGGCGCCCAUGGAGCCGGGACAGAAGGAGGACAAAGGGAAGAGAAGAGGGCGUCGCAGGGUUGUUGCCGUCGUCAGCUGGCGGCGCUUCGGCGGCGAGGUCGCCGGUGCUGCUGA
rnacentral:rRNA from 1 species